GCGAGCGUAGCUCAAUGGUAGAGCACCACGUUGCCAACGUGGUUGUUGCGGGUUCGAGUCCCGUCGCUCGCU
rnacentral:tRNA from 1 species